ACGGUAGCACAGAGGAGCUUGCUCCUUGGGUGACGAGUGGCGGACGGGUGAGUAAUGUCUGGGAAACUGCCCGAUGGAGGGGGAUAACUACUGGAAACGGUAGCUAAUACCGCAUAACGUCGCAAGACCAAAGAGGGGGACCUUCGGGCCUCUUGCCAUCGGAUGUGCCCAGAUGGGAUUAGCUAGUAGGUGGGGUAACGGCUCACCUAGGCGACGAUCCCUAGCUGGUCUGAGAGGAUGACCAGCCACACUGGAACUGAGACACGGUCCAGACUCCUACGGGAGGCAGCAGUGGGGAAUAUUGCACAAUGGGCGCAAGCCUGAUGCAGCCAUGCCGCGUGUAUGAAGAAGGCCUUCGGGUUGUAAAGUACUUUCAGCGAGGAGGAAGGCAUUGUGGUUAAUAACCGCAGUGAUUGACGUUACUCGCAGAAGAAGCACCGGCUAACUCCGUGCCAGCAGCCGCGGUAAUACGGAGGGUGCAAGCGUUAAUCGGAAUUACUGGGCGUAAGCGCACGCAGGCGGUCUGUCAAGUCGGAUGUGAAAUCCCCGGGCUCAACCUGGGAACUGCAUCCGAAACUGGCAGGCUAGAGUCUUGUAGAGGGGGGUAGAAUUCCAGGUGUAGCGGUGAAAUGCGUAGAGAUCUGGAGGAAUACCGGUGGCGAACGCGGCCCCCUGACAAAGACUGACGCUCAGUGCGAAAGCGGUGGGGAGCAAACAGGAUUAGAUACCCUGUAGUCCACGCCGUAA
rnacentral:rRNA from 1 species